UGGGGAAUAUUGGACAAUGGGCGAAAGCCUGAUCCAGCCAUGCCGCAUGAGUGAAGAAGGCCUUUGGGUUGUAAAGCUCUUUUAGUGAGGAAGAUAAUGACGGUACUCACAGAAGAAGUCCUGGCUAACUCCGUGCCAGCAGCCGCGGGAAUAGGGAGAGGGCUAGCGUUAUUCGGACUUAUUGGGCGUAAAGGGCGCGUAGGCUGGUUAAUAAGUUAAAAGUGAAAUCCCGAGGCUUAACCUUGGAAUUGCUUUUAAAACUAUUAAUCUAGAGAUUGAAAGAGGAUAGAGGAAUUCCUGAUGUAGAGGUAAAAUUCGUAAAUAUUAGGAGGAACACCAGUGGCGAAGGCGUCUAUCUGGUUCAAAUCUGACGCUGAAGCGCGAAGGCGUGGGGAGCAAACA
rnacentral:rRNA from 1 species